rnacentral:rRNA from 1 species
AUGCUAAUCGUGGGUGAGCUCAGUGGUUCAAGUACGGAGAGUGUGGCGGGCCAUGCUGUGGGCCAGUCUCCUGCUGAUGGCAUUGACACGGGUGAUGGCCUAUCGGAGGCAAGCGUGGUGGGCCAUGUGGUGGAAUGUGGUAGCUCGUGUCUAGGGAGCGUGUCCGGUCGCGGUGGUAUGAGACGGCAGGAUCGAGGAUUCCAGGUCCAACCAGAGGGUCAGGCUGUGGGAUGGCUAGUUGGGCCCGCAGGCUCCAAUGGCCAAUGGGAAGAUGAGGCACGCCCAUCCCAUCUGGUCUCCCCAUGCGUGGGUCAGUCUGAUCGGCCUGGGGAUUCCCCCACGGUCAGGGUGGCGUCAUGGGACCUGCAGCUGCCCCAAAGCCAGUUGGAGGCAUCGGUUGGUCGGGAUCUCACGCCGACCGAGGAGGAUGCGAUGAGUUUCGGCACUUGCCUAUUGGAGGGCUCGGUGGAGCAGGCAGAGGAUAGGACAAGGGAACUGGGCCCACUCUUCAUGGGGAUGGGGCGUCUCCAUGCACGCCAUGCACGCCCAAUUCUGGGUGGUUUCUCGUGUCGCUUUCGGAACAGCGGGAGGGACAGGAGGAUUCGGAGGGCCAAAUGCAAUCCCCGCAAAGGCGAGUGCAAGUUUUUUGCUCGGAGCUGCGGCAGGAAAUCUCACCUCUCGUGGCGCACCCGACAAGUCGAAACGUGA